GACGAACGCUGGCGGCGUGCCUAAUACAUGCAAGUGGGACGCAAGGACACACACUGUGCUUGCACACCGUGUUUUCUUGAGUCACGAACGGGUGAGUAACGCGUAGGUAACCUGCCUAUUAGCGGGGGAUAACUAUUGGAAACGAUAGCUAAUACCGCAUAAUAUUAAUUAUUGCAUGAUAAUUGAUUGAAAGAUGCAAGCGCAUCACUAGUAGAUGGACCUGCGUUGUAUUAGCUAGUUGGUAAGGUAAGAGCUUACCAAGGCGACGAUACAUAGCCGACCUGAGAGGGUGAUCGGCCACACUGGGACUGAGACACGGCCCAGACUCCUACGGGAGGCAGCAGUAGGGAAUCUUCGGCAAUGGACGAAAGUCUGACCGAGCAACGCCGCGUGAGUGAAGAAGGUUUUCGGAUCGUAAAGCUCUGUUGUAAGUCAAGAACGUGUGUGAGAGUGGAAAGUUCACACAGUGACGGUAGCUUACCAGAAAGGGACGGCUAACUACGUG
rnacentral:rRNA from 1 species